UGGUGCUAAGCUUUGUGCUUUGACCCGGUUUUCACCAGCAUUGUCGUUAAUCCAAAUCAACACGAGCAUGGCAAAAAUGUUGAGGAAACGAUAUUUGUUAAAACCUCAGUGUGGCUAGAUAUUGUAGUUUUAGACCCUUCAAAGAACGUGGUUAAAAAAACUUUUUGCAGCGCCCAUCUAACGCCCACAAACAGCCAAAAACAGCCAUCGCACUUCCUCUAGAUAGAAGAUUCCAACAGCGAGGGAGACAUUUGAACCCAUAGUAUAUAUUCUUUUUCAAUAUCAACUAUGUCAGUAUAUAUUCAGUAUAUACUGUCUUAGUUGAAUAAAACUGGAUAAAACUUUGCAAGUCUUCUUCCUAUUAUAUAUCAUAUUAUAUUUAAUUUUUGUCAAACCUACAUUAGUUGUUUUUGAUCAAGAAAUGUUUUGAUUCGGUAUAAAAAUGGUUUUCGACUAUAUAUAAUUUUGGAUUUAAUUUGAUAAGCAUCGGACGACUAUAUCACCAUACGAACACUCGGAGCACACGGAAAAGGAAUAGAUAAUUAUAGGAAAGAAAUCGGAGCUCAUUGUUUUCGAGUUUCGAGUGUUAAAGAGUUCUUAUUCGGUAUUAGUUACUGCAAAGGAGUAUAAGCUUUGGCUUGCCGUUGGUAGUUUAUCUCUUGUUUUUCUAUAUUUUAAUAAAAAAAUUUAAUUUAAUAAAAAUUUUUUUUUGACCACGCCCACUUUAAUGCCUAAAACCUAGGUGGAGUGUAGGGUCUAGAAAGUAAAUAUUUAUAUUGCGGUUAAAAUAUAGUUGAAUAAACAAAAAUGUUCAUUUCAAUUUUCAACAUAACUUUAGAAGCAAUAAAUUAAUGAAGACCUUAUUGCAGUCAGUUUCGUCACAGAGUUGCAAUAAAUGAAACCGCCAAUAGGCGAAAGUGUGAAAUUUCAAAAUCAGUCGAUAUUUUAACUAUUAUCAAUAAUUAAUAAUAUCUUUGUCUCUCUUACAACCCACUGACUAAAGAGUAUGUGAUGGUAGAGGGUCUCGCUUAUAGCGUUCUCCCUCCUUUUUUAAGAGAAUCAAUCAAUAAAAUAAUAUAUGAGAGUAAAAGUAAAAAACUAAUAAAAAAAAGACUUUUAAAUAAGGUUGACCUGCGCAGAUAUUGUUAAAACCGGGCAGCUGGUGUAACUAACAGAAAAACCUACAACGAAAUAUACUACAACUUUGUUAAAAAAUGUUAUUUUCAAAAGAUAUUAUUAUUGGUCUCAUUGAAAUGCAGUAGUAGUAAGAGCGCUUUGUGCGCGUUAUAGUAGGCGUGGCAAUAUUCUGAAACUUAUGCUGCGUCUUAACUUUCUAGAUGCAAUAGUUUCUGAGAUCCUUAUUUUUAUAAGGACAGACGGAUCAACGGACAGAUGGUCAUGUCAACUCGGCUAUAAUACUUAAUAGGCAACCUUCUACCUGUUACAUAAAAUAACGAUACCAUAUUACAUAACGAAUACAAACGAAUACGUGACGAAAAAAUAAA